rnacentral:lncRNA from 1 species
CCAUGCUCUUGUUUAAGAUUUCUUGAUAUUGUUGUACAAACAACCCCAUGAACUAGCUUUUAGCUGUUACAGAGGCUCUCCAGUAAAAAUUGGCUUGCUUUGGUUAGUUCUAAGCUGGUCUAAUGACUUCUACUUGCCAGAUAAUCACAUCAGUGCAUGCUUUAGACUAGCCUGACUCGCAUUAGCUUACAGAAUUUUCAGUCUCUCUUGCACAUUCCCCUUGCACAUCGUUGUUCCACUUAGCCUUGAAAUACUUUUGAUAGAGGGUUGACUGUGGGUACAAUUUUGCUACUAACGGAGAUUUGCAUUUUCUGUUUUUAUAUUGUCUUUUUUUUGCCCUAGAAAAUGAUGCAGAUCUCAUCAGUGCUGUAGGAGCCGUCAGUGGAGUCCUGCUGAUGCUGGCAGUAGUAUCUGCAAUUUUCUAUGUCUUCAGAUGCAAACCAGGGAAGAAUGAAACAGAUCAUGUGCACUCAGAGGUGGACAAUGAGGAUGUUCGCUUGUAUGAGGAGAUACAGCCCUCCAAUCCUACGCAAGACGCCGACACAAUCUCCACCAAUCAGAACCCUCGUCCAGCAUGUAUCACCAUAUACUCCUCAAUAACAAAUCCAACCCCUGAAUUACACUCUGAAUACACACUGGCUACAAAUCCUAAACCAAUUACAGACUCCAGCCAAUCCGACCAAAGUUCAAACGACCCAAACUACAGUAAAAUAUAUUUCAUUAACAACAAAACUUUAGAUUCUACAGUGAGUUGCAACGAUACGACAUAUUCAACUGUUCAAAAAGUCUUAAAAGAUUAAAACUGAACAACUAAAUCUUAGCUGACUGUAGUUCAGAUUAAUCCACUAUUGGAUUUUCACAAAAUUAAUUAACCCUCAAUGGCAUGAAUUUUAUAUUUCUGAAGAAAAAUAAUGAUAGCCACCACUGCAUUAGCUUUAUUAGAAUUAUUUCUCUAACAAAUAUGGUUUAACUGUAUAUUGUUGCACAAAUGAAGGCAACAAAUAAUAAAAAAACACAUUAGCAAGUAAAUUAAUAGUAA